GCCGCUGGGAGCGUGGGGCGAGCGUGGACCGCGGCGCGGCGGUGCGAUUCUUUUCCCGGCCCUUCUCCCCGCCCCAGGCGAGGGCACCGUGUGGCGGCGGCGGCGGGGCCAGCGAGGCCGGAGGCGGCGGCUGUGCCCGGGCAUGGUGGUCUGGGGCAACGCGGAAGCUGCCAAGCAGUAACAGCUGUCUUUGUACUGAAUCCCGGAAGUGUCUCUGUAUCCUGGAAGUAUUGCAAUGAUCGUCUUCACACCUGCGAAAUAUUCCUGCACCGUGUACGCCAAUGAUUAUGGCUCCGCUCUCGGGCCUCACCUGGGAGCUACUGCAUGUGAGGAUCAAAUUGAUACACAUUAGGGCAUCCUCAGCGGUCUUUGGCAAAGGCCUAUAGAUUACCUCGCUAUCCAAUUUGUUAACUGGACAGCAGAGCCUGAGUGGAAAGAACAAUGCGCUCGUCAGUUGGGAGAAGCUCCUCCAGGUAUCAACAGAUACAAGCAAGGCAAUCUCACUGUGCAGGUUGAUUAGAACUGGGUUUGUAUUUUGGACAAUAAACUCUACUUACGAUAGUCUCCCAGUCAUUAAGUAUCUCUGCUGUAAGAGAAAACUGGGGCUAUUAACUUCUCCAGAUAGAACCCGAGGGAAAAGUGAUCAUUUCUUUUCUAAGCAGAAGGGAAGGUUCUGCUCAAUAAAGAUCAAUUAAACAUC